UACGUAGGUGGCAAGCGUUGUCCGGAAUUAUUGGGCGUAAAGAGCGCGCAGGCGGUCGUUCAAGUCGCGUGUGAAAGCCCCCGGCUCAACUGGGGAGGGUCACGCGAUACUGAUCGACUCGAAGGCAGGAGAGGGUAGUGGAAUUCCCGGUGUAGUGGUGAAAUGCGUAGAUAUCGGGAGGAACACCAGUGGCGAAGGCGACUACCUGGCCUGUUUCUUGACGCUGAGGCGCGAAAGCUAGGGGAGCAAACGGG
rnacentral:rRNA from 1 species